rnacentral:misc_RNA from 1 species
UUUCCGUAGGUGAACCUGCGGAAGGAUCAUUAUUGAAUGAACUUGGUAGUGGUUGUAGCUGGCUCUCUCGAGAGCAUGUGCACACCCGCCAUCUUUAUCUUUCCACCUGUGCACUUCUUGUAGACUUUGGGAUUUGAAAACUUAUCCGGGGCAACUCGGUCGGGAGGAGCUGCUGUAGCAAUAUGGCUCUCCUUGACAAGACUUCAAAGUCUAUGUUUUUCAUAUACCCCAUAGUAUGUAACAGAAUGUAUACAAAUGGGCCUUAGUGCUUAUAAAACUUAUACAACUUUCAACAACGGAUCUCUUGGCUCUC